rnacentral:lncRNA from 1 species
GAAGUUGGAAGUAGCCAGGGCAGGGGUCCUGGGAAUCUAGUGGCUACAAAGGGCAACCCAGAAUGUGGUGUCAUUGAGUGCAUGGCCAUCCUUCCACAUGAUCAAGGACAUGCCCCUGGGGUUCUAUUCCAAGACCCCAGAAGAAUGGGCCACCGCUGCCAAGAAGUAUAAUAUGUGUGUGGAAGACUAUCAGCCUUACUUGGAUGAUGGCAUGGAGUAUGGUAACUACUCAAAGUUCUUUGACCAUUCACAGUAGGAGAGGGAUCUGUGGUUUGACUGGGACCACCAAGACUUGAGGUUGAACUGGGGUGAACUGAUACACUGGCAUCUGGACAAGUAUAUCAGGAACCAUGUGGAUAUGGCCCUCCACCCCUGUUUCUUGGAAUAUCAUGUUCAAUAAUCUCUUCAGCUUCCUGACCUUCAUGAACUUUAUGUUCUAUGUAGUGGAGAAUUAUUCUACCUACCAGCCUGUGGGGCCAAAGCAGUAUCCUUUUAAUAAUCUGUACUUGGGACAAGACAGUGAUCCACCAAAGAACCUGAGCUAGUGUUUCACUAUGAGAUC